rnacentral:rRNA from 1 species
UACGAAGGGGGCUAGCGUUGUUCGGAUUUACUGGGCGUAAAGCGCACGUAGGCGGAUUGUUAAGUCAGGGGUGAAAUCCUGGAGCUCAACUCCAGAACUGCCUUUGAUACUGGCAAUCUCGAGUCCGGAAGAGGUAAGUGGAACUCCUAGUGUAGAGGUGGAAUUCGUAGAUAUUAGGAAGAACACCAGUGGCGAAGGCGGCUAACUGGUCCGGUUCUGACGCUGAGGCGCGAAAGCGUGGGGAGCAAACAGG